rnacentral:rRNA from 1 species
UACGUAGGGUGCAAGCGUUGUCCGGAAUUAUUGGGCGUAAAGAGCUCGUAGGUGGCGGGUCACGUCGGGUGUGAAAGCCCGGGGCUUAACCCCGGGUCUGCAUUCGAUACGGGCCUGCUAGGGUCCGGCAGGGGAGACUGGAAUUCCUGGUGUAGCGGUGAAAUGCGCAGAUAUCAGGAGGAACACCAAUGGCGAAGGCAGCUCGCUAGGACGGUACUGACGCUGAGACGCGAAAGCGUGGGGAGCAAACAGG